UUUUCUUGGCCUUUAUCUCUACUCGUUGAAGGUUUUAUUGACUCUGACACUUCAAAAAGACAAACCACAUAAACACACAAUCAACAAUCAGUCAUCAACAUCAUUAAAACAGUGACAAACAUAAGCCUAAGCUACAUUAUCUUUUAAUCGAAACUUUCAACAUAGAAAACUUUAUAUUCGAAUAUCUCAAUCUACACUUAAUCUUUUUGCAGGAAAUGAAUUAUGUUCAUCUAAAUAAUCAUCUAC
rnacentral:lncRNA from 1 species